rnacentral:sRNA from 1 species
GAGAGAGAGAAGGGUGGAGGAGGGAGGGAGAAUAUUGUUUAGGCCCCACACGAUUCUGAAAAUAUUCAUAACAUAUACCAAAACGACAGUCCCAUAAACCAAAAAUUUGUUGUGCAGCUUUCAAAGAGUCAAGCUAGUCUCUGUUUGGAGAAGUCAUCAAAACUUUACAUGCUCUAAACGCUUUCUAAGUCCAUGAUCCUCCUGCUCUUUGUGAUGAAACACGGAGUAGCUAAAGUCAACUGGAUCUCCCAGUUUUGACCAAGAAAAAUACACUGCAGAGAACUAUGAGCACGAAGACCGUCUUCCUAGAAAUCAAGGUCGCCAUGAAUGGUUGGAGGAGUAUGGGCUUGUAACAUGCACAGAUGGUAAGAAGACAACAGGGAAGGAGAGGUUAAUAUGAAGGCAGCAGUUUCUAAAUGGCAGUUACCAUGUCUUUUUCUGCCCUGAAUCCCUCCACCUUAUGACUUGCCCAGGAGCACUCAAUAAAUAGUCCUCAAAUAAAAGAAUGUAUGCAUACAUGUGAGUGAAACAAAGUAUGGGAGCCCCAUGUGAUGGUGAUGAUGGUGAUGAUGAUGGUGGUGAUGAUGAUGAUGGUAAUACUUUAUUAUUAAUGUUCAAGAACAUGUAUUUUGAAGCAUUUAUAGGAUUUCCUAGAGUGUGCAUGUAUUCAAUAUUUGUAGCUAUUUGGUUUCAGUUUAGAAUUUAUACCUUGGAACUGGGAAGAUGGCUCAGAGGUUAAGAGUGUGGUUGCUCUUCCAGAGGUCCCUGGAUCAAUUCUUAGCACCCACAUGGCAGAUCACAACUCUCUGUAACUCCAGUACCAUGAGAUCCGACACCCUCACACAGAAUACAUUCGAGCAAAACACCACUGCAAAUUUUUUUUAAAAGAAGUUUCCACCUUACUAUGUAUUAGGAAAGAUUAGCUCAAAAUUUCGGGUUCCUUUAAAAAUGACACACAUUUGCCUGUAUUGUUUCCAUCCACUGACAGGCUCGAAGGAGAGACAUACCCUAGGGUCCCUUCACUGUAUCCAUGCCCCUACACUGUUGGCAGGGGUCCCCAAGGGGUAGUUUCUCAGGUGUUCCCCUGUCAUCUGCAAACUUGGUGACCUUAGCUGUGAACCAGUUAGCUGAUGCUCAACUGGAUCUAAUUUGUUUCUCCUGGGUUAGUGCAAUUGAAUCAUCUCAAGACAAUGAGAAGUAAUUAAGUACCUGUGGCAAACAGGGUGCCGACAUCCCCUGCCAGCAGACAGACGCACGGUGUUUAUUUAUUAUUGGAGUUUGUCAUCUGGGAAAACAUGACAUCGCCCUUCUCCGGGAGGAAUUUCUCCUGUGGCUUUGCAGAUCCAGGCGUCACAGACCUAACAAGCUCCACUCUGGGGCAUGGGCAAGACAGGAAAGCUGUGGGUAACACAAAGCGAGCAGAAGUGCAGUGCCCAGCUUCACGGGGAAACUCAUCCAGGGGCCUGGGAGUUAGUGGACGGCAGAGAGGAAAUGCAGCAUUCUAGCAAAGGCUCCUUAAGUAUCAGUUCAGGAAAUUAUUAAAUUCAUUAGCCAGAUACUUACAACCAGCUAUUACUGCCCAGCCAAAGGAAAAACCAGAGCCAGCAAAUGUUUUAAAACUACAACUAAACAAAAGUCAGGAAGCGUGUAAUUAAAACUGUACCUUUAUCGUAUUAUAAAGAGUUUCCCUGUGACAUGGAAAAUAUUUAAAGGAGAAGGCUGUUUAGCUAAUUUGUCUGCAAGGGAGCUGCAGAAUGGAGAACAGUCCUAAAUUAACUGUAAGGCCACCCACCGAGAGAACCCCAUAAAGGGCCAGGGCAACUCAGCUUCGGGUUUCUGUAACUGUUCAAUAAUUACCAGAUAAAUGCAUAACUCAAAGCUCUAUUACACUAAUAAUCUGUAUGUAGAUAGAUGUGUGGGACACCCUGCUGGGUUAAUCUGUCAUCCUGCAGGAAACUUUAAAGAGAGCUCCUAUGUAGAGAGAUCAUGUUAAUGUGCUGUCCGGGGAGGACAGGUUAGAGUAGGGGACCACUUGGCUCCUUAAUCUUUCAAGAGGCACAAGGCCCCUGGAGGGGAUGCUAAGGAGAAUGGGGUGAUUAGCUUAGUGAACCCCACAUCCACACUCAUCCCCACAAAGGAAGCUGCCUCCACACAUGCCUGUGGCAGCGCCGUGUGACUGAAGGAGCAGAAAGGGAUUCGCAGAGCCACAUCCACAUAGAAGUGGUAGCCGUGGCCAAGCCCCCUCACUGAGACCAGAUACACUGAGACAGAUUGGCUUUAUAAUCAAACAGGUCCCUGAGCAAUUCCUUCUUCCUCACUUAGCUUAAUCUUAUUCUAAUUCCAUGCUUAAGUAUCAUUACUAGGGUUUCCUUUUUUAGCACAAAAACAAAAAUUGGCAAUUGAACUUGUAUCUUCUCUUUAUGUGAAAUUGUCUCUCCCUGUUCUCUCCCUCCCUCACUCCUUCCCUUUCUCUGCCUUCCCCCAACUGCUGUUCUGAAUAUAAAGCUCACAUUUAGGCAUCAGUGUGGGUUCGAGGCUCCCCUAUUGACAGAAUCAUAAAUCAUGGUCAAGUUAAGUGCACUGCAUUGCCUGGAGCUGAGCUUCAGCGGUGUGUAAGUGCUCCAGCCUGUCACACAUGGAGCAAGGGAACACACUCUGAGGACUGUCCUGUCCAAAUGGCUGCAGAACACUGAGAGUCACUCUUCCGGGCUGCAUCCUCUGUGUUGGGAGCUCUGGUGCAUUUAAUCACCCACACACACUCACAUGCUUUCUAAAGUUGUAGUCCCACAGAAAAUUUACAUUGUCAUUUGCUAUUUCUUUAUAUUAAAUGUCAGUGGUUUCUCCACAUCUCCCCAAAACUUCUGUUUUCUUAUGUGAAAAGCACAUGUGAGACCAUCAGAGCUGCCUGGUUCUCCUUCAGUAAUAAGAGGCCUGGAACAGAAGAUCUGAAAGGAAAUAAGCCAUUUGACCUCUGAAAAAGUAAUUUAACCAGAGGCAGGGAGGGACUAGUAAGAAGCUGUGCCUAGCAGCGGAGCCGGCCACAAUAGAAUUCAAGUUCUUCCCAGCCAUGUGGGCUCUAUUUAAGCCUGUGGAAGUCAUCUGUCCUCAGUGGGCCUUUGUUUUCCCGCUUUUACAUAAUUGGAAAGCAUUGGUGUGAGGAGAGUGAAUUGCCCUGUCCUGUGUAAGGAGGGACUUGGAAUGCAGUGUGUGUCCAGUAAGUAACAGUUUUCUCCCAGACUACUCCUUGCCCUGAGAGCCUCCUUUGCUCUCUUUGUGUUUUGUUUUUUUCCCUUGGAAUGAUCUCACGCCCUCUCACUCCUGACUUUCUACCUACUCUUGGUGAUCUAGAGGUAACCUAGAACAAGCUGGAAAUGAAAAAUGGUCUUGGGGAAGUGAGCAGACCCACGUUCCCCAUGCCUCCCCAUACACACACACAUACUCCUGUGUGGAAGAAGAGUGGAGUCACGGUGAGCAGGCCCCUUGAUGUCAGAGACCUCACUUAGAGGAGCCCUCUUUAUCUAUGGCUCUCACUAAAGGGGGAAGUAUCUUUGUUAAUUAGUUGAGCCUUCAUCUGCCACAAACAAUAGAGGCCCAAAUGGUCAAGCUCAAAAGGCCAUCCCUACCAGUCUACCUAGUAGAGCAGACAUCAUUAGUGAGGAGGUAAUAAAUAACCAGAGGACAGCACCAGUACUGUUUGAGUGUUUAAUGGAGAUUUUAGGCUGUGAUUACCAGGUUCCUUGGGCACCUUCUGUUGACAUAGUUAUAAAACCUUGUCAUUCUUAGGGAACGUCACCAGAUCUUCCUAAACCCCCAGAUUCCUGAGCACUGUAAUAAAAGCCGAUGGUAGUUAAGUACUAGACAGUGAACUGUGCUAAUAAAGACUCCUUUUGCGAAUUCUAAAAAAAAAAAAUGCUUAACCACUUAACCACCCUUCCAUCAACUAGCCAAAAACAGGUAAUGGGUUAGGUUAAGCAACUGAAAAAUCUAGGAGAGUGUGGCUUCGAGUGGACACACAUCAAGUGCACGGAUCAUAACUUUCCUCCUCUAGUCCUCUCAUGGUGAGCCCUAUUCACAGGCUCUAUCUCGUUGAUAGUGCACAAUGUGUGAACAACUCCACACUUAUUUCCACAACCUUAACAAUCCAAAAGGGAAAAGAAUGGCUUUUCUAUAACACAUAGAAUAGCACCUACCACCAGAUAGAUGCCUGUGGCUCUGACUGGCCUAAUCAGGAUCCUUUGCUCAUCUUUUAGACAAACUUUAUACCUGAAAGACAACAGGAUGUCCCAUUGUAUACCCUGGCCUCUAUAACCACCAUCAGAACCAGGUGUCAGGGCCGCUAAUCACAUGACCUGAGGCUGAGGGAGAAGAGCUCUCCAAAGAAAUGUUAGAACUCCACUUACAGGAGAAAGGAUAAGGACAGCAGGGUGGGCAAAAGUCCAUCCUGGGUAUUACAGGAGGGAGAGACAGGAGCUGGGCAGCGGGCAGCAAUCCUCACCAGCCUGGGACUUGGUUCUGCACUUAAGCACUUGAAGAGCACAGGGGAAACAUAAGCUGAGAAAGCUGUCAUCAGUUCAUGCUGUGAACCUGGUUAGUUAACCUUCUCUGCUGCUGAGAAAAAUAACCACAAGCAAAAGCAACUCAAGUAAGCAAGGGUUUAUUCUUGCUCCAGACCGGUAGAGUCCAUCAUGGAGGGGAAGGCAUGGCAGGAGCGAGACGCUAGCUGGUGACAUUUUCAUACACACAGAAAACAGAGUGAUGUAAGGCUAUAAACCCUCAAAGUCUUCCCCCGGUGAAGUACUUUCCAGCAAGCCUAUGCCUCCUAUGGUUCCAUAACCUUCUCAGGCAGUGCCACCAACCCUGUGGAGGAUGUUUCUCAUUCAAACCGUGGUGUGCAUGCAGCUUCACCUGUAAACAAUUCAACCCUUGAGUCUCAGUUUCCUAAUGCCACUGUAUAUCCUGGAUUACGUUUUACAUCUCUCCUCCCCACAGAUACCUGAAGGAUGAUAGAUAGCCCAAGUCUAGCUAGGUCACUGUUCAGCCUGUAGUAGACACUCAGGAUGUUUGUUGAAUAUGUGGGCUGACUAAGGACCUCUAUAUGUUCGUUCUCGUCCUCGGAACGGUCUUUUAUGAGUGCUCUUACACACUUAUAAAUAGAGGUGUGCCAGCUUCGAAAGCUUUGUAGCUCUGUGCAGAUUCUCCGAAACCCUGUGCAGUUUUAGUCCAUAGCAGUCGCUUUCUAUGGCCCACACAGAACCGAGCGUAUCAGCUAAAGGAGAGGAGGACCAGGAAAGACUGGCCCAGCACAGUGGAUACUAAAGCCAGAUGGUACCAGACUUUUCAUGCUGGACUAACAUUUCCUCCUCUUGAGGAAAAUGCACUAACAUCAGGAAGAAAUACUCUAAUUCUGCAGGAUGACUAAAGAGACUGCAAAUUCAGGAGGGCACUGGGAAGUAACGCUUAACCGUCACAUCCAGCCGCACAAUCUUGAAAUGUCGUCAGCCUGGUGGUUGGCGAAGAGAAGUGCUGAAAAUUGUCCUUUGGCUUUACAGUUGCAGGUCUGCUUACUUUCCUCCUGUUGCUGUGAUAAAACUCCUUAACCAAAAGCAACCUGGAGAGGAAAGGGUUUAUUUCACCUCAGAGCUGAUGAUCCACUUCCUGUGAAGUCGGAGCAGGAACCCGGAGUCAGGAACUAAAGCAGAGACCAUGGAGGAGUUCGGUUUACUGGCUUGCUCCCCUGCCUACCUCAGCCCACAUUCUUACACCUCUGCUCAUAGAGGGGACAAUGCACAGUGGGCUGGACCUUCCCAUAGCAAUCAUUAAUUAAGAAGAUGCCCCACGGUGUUACCUACAGGCCAGUACAGUGAGACAUCUUCUCAAUUGAGGUUCUUUCUUCCCAGAUGACUGUAGCUUGUGGCCAAUUGACAAAAAAAACGCCAACCGGCACAAGGAUUUUGCUUGCUUGUCAUUGACAUGACUUAACUUGCUUUAUAUGUAAUGGAGAGAAAGACUUGCAAACAUCGUAAGUCCCAGCACCUGUCAUCCCUGCAGCCGUAGCUUCUGCUGAGAUAGGGUUGCUAAAACUUUCUUGAAACACUCUGCCUACCACUCCAGAGGUCUGGCAGCCCCUCACAAGAAUCCCACCUGCUCCUCCUAACCGCAUGCCAUCCCUUCUGAGGCGGGAGGGGUUUAUUUUUUCGCUCACGUUGUUUUGAUGCGUUUGUCAUUCUUCAUCUCUCAUCUCGUAGUCUCACUUGCAUAUUGCAUAGAAGUCUAACUUCCAGGUUGGGGAUUUAGCUCAGUGGUAGAGCGCUUGCCUAGCAAACGCAAGGCCCUGGGUUCGGUCCCCAGCUCCGAAAAAAAGAAAAAAAAAAAAGGAAGUCUAAGUUCCCUCCAUAGAGCUGGAUUCCUGUCAACUUUGCCUAUGAAAUUAUCACCCCUCAUAUCUGCCAUAGCCACAGCUGUUGGGUGCUGCUUGAACACAUUUCACAUCAGCCACCAUGGUAGCUUAUGCAAUUAGUGUGGGAAUAUGGUCAGUUCAGAAACCCUGUCAGGAUAAAGGCUGGGGCUCUCUGUCAGACCUUAACCCAGAAUACUCCAUGCCUAUAAAACUCUGGAUAUGCUAGCCAACAGUCCAGAUGUUCCUUGUAGCUUAGUUUAAAAAUGUGUUCUUUUAAAUGGCUCGUACUCUUUUGUUUUCCAGUCUUCUAGGUUUUAAUUUUAUUACUAUGAAUCAGUUGUACUAAGCCAUUUGUAAACAUAAUUAUUGAUACUGAAUUCCAUAUACCCACUCAAAUUUAAAGCAGAUGGGCCCCAGUGAGUAUUUUGUUCAAGUUCUGUUUCAAAAUGAGAGAACCAGGGGAGAAGGACUUUGUGCAUCUUUGUAAGUCAUAUAGCUGCAGAAACUAAACACCCAGGCAUCUGAAUAGAAAGAUCUCCCAAAAUAUGCCCUUGGCCAUAGAAGAGCCUUCUUUUGUAGUAAGCCCGUGUUAACUGUCUAACUAACCACACCUCAGGGCCCUUCACAGGCGUGAUGAAGGUUCCCAUGUGCCCGUGUUAGGAAGCAAGCUCAGAAUCUGGAUAGAUCAGAAGGCAGAAGGCAUGACAGAUGUGUCUACAUGGCAAAAGAAGAGGCCAGUGAGAACAGUCAGAAUUAACACCCAAGCUCUAAGUUCUAAGUAGAAAAGUGUCCACAGAAAGAUGGCCACAUAGUUCUAAACUAUGUUGUCCCACAGCCUGAGUUUUAGGCAAAGGUAGAGAAGACUUUUGUUCAGAAAAAACACUCUUCAGGUUUCUGAAUAUAGCUAUUUAACUCUACGAUCAAAGACUUUGCCACUGCUAAUAUUGUAUUUGUAUUUGGUUGUUUACAAAGUUAGUUCUGAGACCUUCAUGGCAUACCCAUGCCCUUGCUGAUGCCACUCUUUUAAUAUCCACAUACUCCUGUGGAGACAGGCGGAGAACGGCACUUUUUACUCCACCCCCUGCCCUCUGUGUAUGGUACAGUCUGUGUAUAGUCAGCACUGAUCUGAGGACACGAAAAUGAAUUCCAGUUUCAUCCUCGCCUGCCAGUAUCCUCUCCCGUAAUAUAAUAUAGCAGUAGCAAAAUUGCAAGGCGCUGUUUGUGGAUCACUGUGUGAAACGGUGAAGCUUGACUCUGGAGUCUGUGUUUAUGGAGAACUGGUCAGUGUAUGCAGAGACUAGCAACCUCAGCUUCCUCCUCCAGAUGUUUACAGCCAGAGACUCCUGGCAUACAGAGACCUCUUCCUGAGAUUAGCUAACCCUUCCCCCUGUGCUGUACCUGAUAAACAUGCCACAGUUCCGGGUUGUGACAGUAAUAGACCCCUCCUGAUCCCAGAUUUCCUGUAUGUAUGUCUGUGUCUGUCCGCUCUUUAUUCUCUUACUGUCUUUCCUCGGGGUGCGGGGAAGCAAGCUGCAUGGGCCUCAAACAUGCAAGUCUGUUAUUCUAAGACCCCAUGGGUCUCAUCCUAUGCUGCAUGAGUAUUCUGACGUACAUGUUUGGGAUGACAUAGAUGGGAGUAACUAGCUCAGGACAAGGCGUGCUAAAUAAUAGUGAAGAAGAGGCAUGGAAGGUGAAGGGGAGGUUCAUGGACGCAUGGAAACCAUUCUGAUAGCCUUGGGAGCAUCAGAAGACCAGGGCCUCACAGUGGCUUGUAAACAAGGGACAAAGAGAACAGUGACUGGCAGGUUCCCUGCAGAGUUGGGAGGGUAUGAAAAGGAAUAGAACUACGUGAGUCUAUACCAGAUCAAAUCCAGGCCUGGCCUAUAUUUUGAAAUAAGAUUUUAUUGAACAUAGUUUCACCCUUUUGCUAAUGGUAGGUCUAUAGCCACUCAUGCAGCACAGAGUAGAAUAUUGCCACAGACCUUCAAAAUGUCCAUUCCACCAGGAUUUCUCAACCUGUGAGUCUCAACUACUUUGGGGAUUGAGUGACCCUUUCACAAGGGUCGCAUAUCAAAUAUCCUGCAUGACAAAUAUUUACAUUAUAAUUUUAUAACAGUCACAAAAUUACAGUUAUGAAGUUGCAACAAAAAUAACUUUGUGGUUGGGAUUCACCACAAUUCGAGGAACUGUACUGAAGGGCCACAGCAGUAGGAAGGUUGGGAACCACUGGUCUCCAGAGAGGGAGCCUCCAUUCAUGCUGUAGACCAAAGCCCAGAGCUUUUGAAAAACACAGGACAUUUUUCUCCAGAAGCUGUGAUGUACCGCUUGCUUGUUUGUUUGUUUGUUUGUUUGUUUGGUUUUGUGUGUGAUAUGGCGGGGGAGGAGGUCACAUGGGAGCCACAGCCUGCCUGUAAAGGUCAGAGGUCAACUUUGUGGAGUCCAGAGAAACACGGAGUUUUGUAUAGUUAAAAUUGAUAAAGACAAGAAUGUAAAUCAACUUUGGCCUCCCUUGAUUGGAGGAGAGGAGAUGUGUUUUUCCAAGAGACACUCUGAUCUUCAAGUAUUGUGGUCAGAAAGACAGCUUUAAUUCAAGUAGACUCACUUAACAUCCCCAUCUCAGAACGACGUAGUAGCUUACUACUAAGGCAUCUGAAGCAGUCACACAGUAAUGCUACCAUUUCACAGAGCAUCACAAAGCGUGAGGCUUUCCCCUGCGCCUUUCACGUGCUUCCCGAUGACAUUCAAGGUCUGGACUGAGAGUCUUGGAAGACUCUGAAGAGCCUUAGCUCGCUUUGAGUCACACGCUUUGUUACUUAGAAAAGGCUCAGCCUCCUAAGUGCCCGAGUAGCAGUUCCAAUGCCUCCCUCCCUGUGUCUGUUAACAUAAAUCACAGAGCUCCAAACUUCUCAGCUUUCGUAAAUGGCAGGCCUGAUUCAUGCAUGAUUUAUCAAUUAUAGCUGUGGGCCAUUAAGAUAGAUCUCUCCGCUUCAGGUAGGCUUCGGUGGGGUUGUACAGGGUUGGUUUAGAAUUCCUAAAGAAGCUCAGCAGUUGACAACCCAAACAAUACAACUUCCGCUUGCCCUUGUUGAGGGCUUUUUGGUUUUAAGUAGGAUAUUUUUUCCUUAUAAUUUCUUCUCCUUUUGGAGCUUUGCCUUAGCACAAAAAAAAAAAAAAAGAAAAAAGAAAAAAGAAAAAGGAAAGAAAAGAAAGAAAGAGAGAAAGAGAAAAAGAAAGAAAGAAAAAAUGUUUUAAGCAAGAGUAGUCAGGAGUUCUCAAAGCCACUCUGUCUCUGCAAAGAGCUCAUCUAGAUCCUGCAGACAGAUGGGAGGCUGUUCCUCCUGACAGCCCAGCAGAAGAAACAACUUGGAACCCCACCUGUUGCCCCUAAUGAUUAAUGUGAAGAAGAUGACACUUGGCAGAUUCUGGGCUUGGGUAUGCCCUUCAUUCUUGCCAGGGAAAAAGCCUCUAUCUUGAACCACUUAAAGGAGGAGUAGAUUUUAUGGCUGUGUUACCUUUGGACAGUUUUUCUGUGAAUGCUCUCUUAGAACAGGCUAGGAUCUGAUGGCUGGUACCAAAAAGCAAGAGCUAAUGUCUCUAUGGAAGCUGCGAGAAGCAACAGUGGUACACAGACGAGGAAUAAAUCAGGCAGAACAGCAGCAGGGCUGCAUAGGAUAACACAGCUCAGUGCAGGGUUCUUAGAAUUUGGAAGGCUGAUCUUGGAAAUAGUGAGAAGAAAUGGCUUCCUUCCUAAGAUUUUUUUAAAAUGCAUAAAGAUGCCAGGUCUAGCCACCCACCCCUCCCCCUGUGGUUUAUGGUCACAUGCACUCUACUGAAGUGUGCGUCUAAAAGGUCUCCCCCUGACACUGGGCUGUGACACCAAACAUCGCUAUCAUAUCAAUGACCUUGGCUUCUCCUCCCUAGUCUUAGUCAACUCUGAUUUAAAGGGAGGAAGCCUUUUCUACUUAAACAUAUAUUCAGUUGUAUCGGACUUUAGCCUUCUCCUUCUUCAAACUAAAAGAGAUAAUUUUAUACAAUUAGAAAGUUCUGGAGUCUAGGGAGGAGGCAGGCCAAGCCAAUCUGCCUGACCAUAAGUGAUUACUGGACCCUUAGGAAAUCCUGUCUCUAAAUGUGUUUGUGGUGACUCGGUUUGGGCAAUCACAGAUCCACUUCCUUCCUCUCCAUCCUAUUUGUGUUCCCAUGAAAAGCCCAAGUUAUUGUUGUAAACCAGGCUUGCUGCUAGCUAACAGUGAAACUAGUGGUGAGAGUCAUUCAGAUUGGAGUGUUCCCAACAGACGCCGUGUUGCUCCAGGCCUGGGGUACUGAGAGCACUAGACCCCAGAAGCAGCCAGUUUGGUAGGGUCUUUUAAUUCACAGUAUUGUAUUAACAUUAACACGGAUCUAGAUGGAUGCUUUGCAAUAAACCGUAACCACUGGAGAAAAGGCUAUAUUGACUCUC